GAACUUGUGUCAGGAUGACAUUUUCAAAGUUGUGGUGGGUUGAACUUGGCUGGCUGCCUGAUUCCCACUCCAAACAGAGAGCAUCUCUGACUCUCCCUCCUCAACAGGACAGGGGGAGAAACAAUGGAAAAGCUUAUGGGCUGAGAUAAAGACAGGUAGAUCGUUUAGCAAGUAGCAUCACAGGCAAAAAAGACUUGACUUGUGGAAAAUUAUCUUCUUUUAUUGCUGAUUAAAAACAGAGUAAGACGACUUCUCCCCUGUUCCAGUAUGGGAUUUCAACAGGCUGCAGCUUCCUUCAGGACAUAUCCACCUGCUCAGCGUGGGGUACUCCAUGGGCUACUCAUCUGCUCUGAGACAGUCCUCCAUGGGCUGCAGCAAGACUAGACAGGUAACAGUGAACAACAAGAUGGGAGUCAUCCAACACUGUAUUGAACCAGCGCCGUGUGGGAAGCAAAGCCUGUGGUAAACAACCUCACGUUAAUACAAGCAACUCUUCAAAAGGAUCAUCUGAGAAUCAAAAUAAAGUGGAAACUGAGGAAAUCAUCUGAUUUUCGGUAGCUCAGCCAGCUCCUUUUGCAAACACAUACUUAAGGAUUAAAAUUUAUACCCUAAAAAAAUGCACAAAUAAAAUAAUGCAAAUUUGUAUGCCAGAAAGAUAAUGUUUUCCUUUAUGUCAAUAGAAUACGAGUGCAGUGCAUUAGCAGUACAAAUGGGAGACACCAUGCUUAGGAACAGUUUUUUACUUUUCAUAUAGCAGUGGCCACAUAAUUCUCUGUUUCCCUUCCUUCACUUUGCCAGCAAGGGACAUUCAAGUGCCAUGGGCAAAGCUGGACAGUCACCAUAUCCAUAUGCUCUUACUACCCUACACACCCAGAUGACUUUCAGUGGAGAAUGACAGGCCACAGUCUACAUCAUCACCGGUCAGCUUCUUGCAUCUUCAUGCACUCACAUCCUCAGGCACUAUGUUGCAUGCCAAGGCAGCACACGUGCAACAACCACCUCCGUGACUCUUGGACUAGAAGUCACAUAUGGGAUUUCACAGAUCCAUACAGUUCAGCACCAGGGACACUGGAAGGAUUCCAGUGAUGAGGAAACAUUUCAGCAACAUAUCCAAAUCAUGUCAGAUGCAUAACAGAGUCAAGUCACACUUUAGGAUAUCCUGGAAGCAGACAGGAACUGGAAUGGCAGAGAAGUAAACAGCAUUCAGAGACCUGUGAUAACUCAGGACAGAUAUAAUGACACUUUUAUGUUAGAACAAUAGUUUCUGAACAGGGAUAUGAUCACUUAUGAGUGAUUUUGUUGGCAUAAGACUGAUUUCUCCUUCAUUUGCAUGGACUUUGAAUAUUCACCUUUUUAACAGAUGCUAAAAAAAUGCCGUUUAAAAGCUGCUUGACAGAACUAGUCAUUACAUGAAAAAGUACAAAAGUACAGUUAAUUUGCUUAACCUGGAUAAAGUGCAUUACAUGAGAGCAUAGUCACUUUUGUAAUUUCAAUUUUCCUUAUGAUAACUGCCUCUCAGACACAUCUCAUCCACAGCCAUCAGACCAUAAAACUAGGCUAUUAAGUUAAAACUUGCACUUUAAAAAUCCACAAAACCUUGCACUAGAAAUAUGAACCGUGACCACUUUAGUUAUUUAGGAGAUCUAGGCAUUUUCAACAUUAUUACAAGGGGCCAUUAGACAGGCUGAAUCCAUAGUCUUUAUUGAUUUAAGAGUCAUUCAACUGUACUUAGAAAAGUGUUACUCAAAUGAGCUACUAUUGCAAGAUUAUGACUUUUAGAGUUUUACAUUUACACUAGAAGGCAGCCAGGAAAACUAAACAUUAGAUCCAGCCUAAGGUCUCAUUAACUUCAAUUAAGUUUCUUUUGUGUCUAUCUUCAAUUUGCCUCACUAACUUUUCUUGUUGGCUCUGGGUGAAAUAGAGCAGAUCACAGCCAAAGGAGAAACCCAGCACUCGAUGAGAAGCAGCUACAAAAGUGAUUAAACAGUUUUUCUGUGAUUUAUCAUUGUUUUUUUUCCUUUUUGAAUUUUUCUGUAGACAUAUAUAGGAACACAUAUAUGUAAGUUUUGAUUUUCUGCCAACAUUGUGCGGGGGUACAACUGCCACCCCAUUGGUCAAAUCCAGGAGAAAGUUUGGCAAGGGAGUGCCCUCUGAACCUUGUGAAGACCCUCAGCUGGAGGGUCUCCCUUAUUCCUUUUAUCCUUACUCUUUCCCAUCCUUACCCUUUUUCCAUCCCCAGCCUCCACACAGAUCAUUUUAGGUUGAUUUUAGUUGUAAAUUGAUUUAUUUUAGAUUUUAGUCUGAUUUUUCUCCAUGUGCUUUAACCAUCUAAUAAGUAGUAGAGUGAACCUUGUCAACCAAUUUUGUCGUGCCUUCACUUUUACAUUAAACCUGCUUUUAAAGAUACCUUUGCCAGUGAUUCUUUGAGCAACCUAAAACACUCAUUUAUGACACAUUGCAAUG